UGUGGUUACAUCACAGAAAAAAAAAUUAAAAUAUGUUCACGAAAAACUUAAUUGACUAAAUCACAUGUAGAUGGCGC